rnacentral:rRNA from 1 species
AUUGAACGCUGGCGGCAGGCCUACCACAUGCACGUCGAGCGAGCGGCGGACGGGUGAGUAAUGUAUGGGGACUGCCCGAAAGAGGGGGAUAACUACUGGAAACGGUUGCUAAUCCCGCAUACUAUCGGAUAACCCAUAUGGGAUUAGCUAGUCGGUGGGGUAACGGCUCACCUAGGCGACGAUCUCUAGCUGGUCUGAGAGGAUGAUCAGUCACACUGGUACGUAGACACGGCCCAGACUCCUACGGAGGCAGCAGUGGGGAAUAGUGCACAAUGGGCGCAAGCCUGAUGCAGCCAUGCCGCGUGUAUGAAGAAGGCCUUAGGUUUGUAAAGUACUUUCAGCGGGGAGGCGUUACCCGCAGAAGAAGCACCGGCUAACUCCGUGCCAGCAGCCGCGGUAAUUC